rnacentral:rRNA from 1 species
UACGGAGGGUGCAAGCGUUGUCCGGAUUUAUUGGGUUUAAAGGGUGCGUAGGCGGCCCUGUAAGUCAGUGGUGAAAUACUGCAGCUUAACUGUAGCAUUGCCAUUGAUACUGCAGGGCUUGAGUACAGAUGAGGUAGGCGGAAUUGAUGGUGUAGCGGUGAAAUGCGUAGAUAUCAGGAGGAACACCUGUGGCGAAAGCGGCUCACUGGACCAUAACUGACGCUGAUGCACGAAAGCUAGGGGAGCAAACAGG